GCUAUGGCAUACCCUAAGAUUUGGCCCACCAACGGAUCCCCACUCCCAGCCGGCCUGUCCAAGUGCCAGACUCGGCAUCUCCUGCGGUGGCGUGAGACGUCCUGCCUAGCGACGACGCGGCCGACUCGCCGAGCGCCCGAGCCUCAGCCCCUCCCUGCGGCACCGGCGCACCGCCCGGCCACAGCCGCGCCCGCCGCCCGCCGGGCACCGGAGCUGGCUGGAUCUAGACGCCGCGCCGCCUGUCCGCCGUUCAGCAGCCGCCGCGGCCCGCGGCGCCGCCCAGCUGCCUCUGCCUGUCCGCCGGUGCGCGGCCGCCGCCCAGCAGCCUCCGCCUGCCGCGAUGCAGCCGGCCAACGCCCUCCCAACCUCCCAAAGGCCAAAGCCCCAAACUGAAGAUUCUUGACCAGGAUCUCGUCCUAUGGGAUCAAGACUGAUUUGAUGCAUCCUGAUGGUAAAUGUCUAUGUAUUACAAAAUUUGUUUGCUGUUCAAGAUAUGUAUGGCAAAUUAAUCAAAUUCCAUAUAGAGAUUUUUUCCCCGUUUUGUAAGCUUAGCAUUAGUGUUCUGUGAUGACAGAGUUGGUUGAAGAAGUAUUGUACUGCUGAGUCUAGAAUCUUUAAAGGCUGGAUGCAACGUUGACAGGGCAUUGGUUGGCUGAGGGUUUAAGGAGUAUAUAUUUGUAUAAUGAGUUGUUCUUGUGAUAGUGUAAGAGUGUGUGUUGCUAUGUGUGGACUCACUAUGCAACAUAUAUGUGAUCAUUUCCUCUUAAUCACAAUUUCAAUGCAAACAACACUGAUGUGGUAUACCAUAAAAACUACAUAUGCUGGAACACAAUGUAUUCUUUUCUUUUUCUUUUUCUUUUCUUUUUUUGAAAAUUUCAGUUACCAGAUUUCAUCACCCGGAAAGCGGGAAGACAUUGAUAAGAUUGGAACAGGGGGUUUGCUAAAUGAACAGAGCUAUCAUGUCACGUGGUGCCUUUGCAGUUAUCUAUAGACUGCACUUGAAAUACUACAAAAAGGAUCCUGAGGUCAGCAAUCUGUUUCAGCUAAAUCGGCUGUAGGAUGUAAGUGAGAGGGGGGCAGCUAAGUGCACAAUUUCCAUACUAAUCUUGUGGUGGCAGUUGCAGGGGCAUUGCAUUAACACCCAGUCACUUAGAGAUGCAGGUACAUACAAUUUUGGUUUCUAGAACUUGAGAUAUAUAUCUGGCAAUUUCUGAAUAACACCCAGGGUCUUUUUUAUUUCCAUUUUGGGAUUUGUAUUCUGAUCCGAGAGAGAUCCUGAUUAGGAGCUGGGAGAUUCAACCCUGUUGCUUUUUUGUUUGUGUAUGGAGUAUGCAGUGAAUACUUGUAUAUUUCUUGCUACCAUCUUUUGAAUUUUUUUCUUUGCUCAUGCAGGUUACUCUUGGAAGAGACUUGGAAGAGAGACAGAAGAUGUUAAAGUUGACAUUGAUUUGGGAAAAGAAGGAAGGGCAAAUAAAAUAUCUCGCUGACAGGCUGUGAGGUUUGCUUGAAUUAGCAAUGCAGUCUACUUUAUCCCAUAGACAAUACUAGGGGCUGGAAAGCUGGCAUCGAUGGAUUGUGUUUCAUUUAGGUUCCUUUUAGUUUAAUAUAAUGUAUUUGUGUUUUCUGUUGGGGAAUUUGCAGCUUUUAACACCUUUUUUUCCUUUCAAGUGCCAUGUGUAAAAAAAAAUUCAAUCUGUGUAAAUUGACCAAAGGCUUGUUUUGGAAAUAGGAACUUCUAAAAUUGUGGCACUUGUUGCUCAUA